GAUGAACGCUGGCGGCGUGCUUAACACAUGCAAGUCGAACGAGAAGUGGAGACGGACACCUUCGGGCGGAAGACUUUAUUUCGAGUGGCGGACGGGUGAGUAACGCGUGGGUAACCUGCCUCAUACAGGGGGAUAACAGUUGGAAACGACUGUUAAUACCGCAUAAGACCACAGCACCGCAUGGUGCGGGGGUAAAAACUCCGGUGGUAUGAGAUGGACCCGCGUUCGAUUAGCCAGUUGGCGGGGUAACGGCCCACCAAAGCGACGAUCGAUAGCCGAGCUGAGAGGAUGACCGGCCACAUUGGGACUGAGACACGGCCCAAACUCCUACGGGAGGCAGCAGUGGGGAAUAUUGCACAAUGGGGGAAACCCUGAUGCAGCGACGCCGCGUGAGUGAAGAAGUAUUUCGGUAUGUAAAGCUCUAUCAGCAGGGAAGAAAAUGACGGUACCUGAGUAAGAAGCCCCGGCUAACUACGUG
rnacentral:rRNA from 1 species